GACGGAGGGUGCUAGCGUUGUUCGGAAUGACUGGGCGUAAAGCGCACGUAGGCGGUUCGUUAAGUCAGAUGUGAAAGCCCCGGGCUCAACUCGGGAAGUGCAUUUGAAACUGGCGAGCUUGAAUAUGGAAGAGGGUCGCGGAAUUCCCGGUGUAGAGGUGAAAUUCGUAGAUAUCGGGAGGAACACCAGUGGCGAAGGCGGCGACCUGGGCCAAUAUUGACGCUGAGGUGCGAAAGCGUGGGGAGCAAACAGG
rnacentral:rRNA from 1 species